rnacentral:rRNA from 1 species
UAUCGCCUACGGGACGCAGCAGUGGGGAAUAUUGGGCAAUGGGCGCAAGCCUGACCCAGCAACGCCGCGUGAAGGAAGAAGGCUUUCGGGUUGUAAACUUCUUUUGUCAGGGACGAAGCAAGUGACGGUACCUGACGAAUAAGCCACGGCUAGCUACGUGCCAGCAGCCGCGGUAAUACGUAGGUGGCAAGCGUUAUCCGGAUUUAUUGGGUGUAAAGGGCGUGUAGGCGGGAAUGCAAGUCAGAUGUGAAAACUAUGGGCUCAACCUGUGGCCUGCAUUUGAAACUGUUUUUCUUGAGUACUGG